rnacentral:rRNA from 1 species
GAAGAACGCUGGCGGCGUGCCUAAUACAUGCAAGUCGAACGCAGUUUGGACGGGUGAGUAACACGUGGGUCACCUUCCCAUCAGAGGGGAUAACACUUGGAAACCGGUUCUAAACCGAUACUGAUGGAUGGACCCGCGGUGCAUUAGCUAGUUGGUGAGGUAACGGCUCACCAAGGCCACGAUGCAUAGACGGCCUGAGAGGGUGAGCGGCCACACGGGAACUGAGACAAGGCCAAGAAGCCUACGGGAGGCAGCAGGAGGGAAGCGGCAGCAAUGGACGAAAGUCAGACCGAGCAACGCCGCGUGAGUGAAGAAGGUUUUCGGAUCGUAAAACUCUGUUGUUAGAGAAGCGGUAGCUAACCAGAAAGCCACGGCUAACUACGUGCCAGCAGCCGCGGUAAUUC